UAACUCAGCCUUUGGCUUUGGCUUCACGUGUUCAUCUUUAUGGCUCUCAAUCAUUCGCUUCUCUACAGUAAAUCAAGCUAUCCUACGCCCCUCAAGGCUGCAAUCAACACCCGAUCCUUGAUCAGUUCCUUUAAGCCUGGUUGAAUCCGGAUGUAUAAUACUCUCCCGGCUCACGUUAGCGAUUUUGACUCGCCAAUGGUUGAUUCUGACGGCUGAAAUGGAAGCCGGUGGUCGUUGAGCUCUGCUGAAGUCUUCGUUCCUUUUGACAAACACGACGCAUCCGGAUUUCUCUUUUUCUUCAAGGUUUUAAUAAGAUUGAGCUAUGGGGAUGAUGGAUGAGAAUGCUUGCAAUCAUGAAUCUCAAAGACUUGAAAUGCAAGAAAUGGAGAAUACUAUGAAAACUUUGACCAAAUUAGAAUUGGACUUGGCGUAUUCAUCGGAGAAGUUGAUGAAUCUUCAUGUGCUUUUGAUGUGCCUAUUGACUCAGGAGAAUGAUUUUGAGGCUAUGGAUUUGGAGAAUGAGUAUAUCCCAGAUGAUUCGUUUGGGAAGGUGUUGGCAUUUGAUUUUUUGUCUGGCUUUUUGGAUUCUGAGGUAAGAGAGCUGGAUAGUUUCAUGGAUAAACUCGAAGCAGAAAUAGUUGAUGCCCGUGGAAUGGUAUCUUCUUGCAGACAAUCUAGUGAGGUUUUCAGUGUGGUAGAAGAAAAACUGCUUGAUUCCGAAAAGUCGCUUGUUCAAUCCCAACAGCAGAUUCUAGAAGUGAAGAUGCAGUCAGCCAAAUUGCAGAGAAUUGUUUUAAGCAGUGGAAAUUGGAGAUUGGAGGAUCCUGUGAUGUCGUCACAAAAUGAUCAAGUUCUUCUCAACAUAAAUGGGAAAUCAAAUACAAUGACUGAACAACAGAGGCAUAUUUUAAGGAUGCUAGAAAAAUCACUUGCAAGGGAGCUAGAUCUUGAGAAGAAGUUGUCUGAAUCAAAGCAACGGGAAGAAGAGCUCAGAAUGAAGCUACACUAUACCGAACAAGUUGCUUUGAGAAUGGAAGAGGCUGCAGAAGUUGUUUGGGGAAGGUUUUUAGAGGCAGACAAUAGUGUUGAGAUUCUUAUGGGGAUUUCAAAGGAAUUAGUCGGCCGCCUCCAGCUCGUCCAAUUCAAUCUACAUGGUUCGUUUCAACGUGAAAACGAGGUCAAAACUAAAUGUCAAGAUUGGACGGAGCAGCUUAAAGCAAAAGAAGUGGCUAUACAGAAGCUUGAGAAAAGGAAUGCUGAACUACUAAUUGCCAAGAAUGCUGAACUGGAUAAAUUGAGGGAAGAAGUGAAGUCUCUUGAGGAACAACUUAAAGAAUCUAGGCUUGAUCUGAAAAGUGCAUAUGACUCAAAUGAAGCAAGUCAAGAUCAGCUUAUUGAGAUGGAAAAUCUUGUUGAGUCACUGAAAGAAAGCAUCUGCAUAUCAGAAAAUAGAGCAGAGAGUGUUGAAGCCAAGCUUACACAGCUGCAAGAGACAAACUUGGAACUUACUGAAGAGGUGAGUUUUCUUAAAGAUAGUGCAAGCAACAAAGAGAAAAAGGUCGGUUCACUUGAAAAACAGUUGAGGCAACUAGAGAUUCAAUUGCAGCAUGCAAAAUCAUCAUCAGAAGCAAGUCAGGAGCAACAAAACAUGUUAUAUUCUGCAAUAUGGGACAUGGAAACUCUCAUUGAGGAUCUUAAAUCCAAAGUUUCUAAAGCUGAAAGUAAGACUGAUAGUGCAGAGGAGCAUUGCAUUAUCUUGUCAGAAACCAACUUCGAACUCAAUAAAGAACUUACUUCCCUCAAGGCUCGAGUGGAGUUCUUAGAGAAAGCAUUGGAUCAAGCCAACGGUGAAAAAUAUACGAAUGCAAACAAAGUUAACUUGAGUUCCAAGUUUAUCAUGGACAUGGUGCUCCAACUAGCUGUUGAGAGGGAUCGAAUUCAGAGCCAGCUAUCCAUUUUGACAAAUGAUAACAAAGCUUUGAUUGAGAAAUUGAGAACUGUAAGAGAUGGUGCGUCUAUAAUCACACGUGACAGAGGAGACUACGACAAGAAGGAACGGUCAGCCCCAGAGAAUGAUGUAAAUAUACCUCAAUGAUUCGGAGGAAGCUUUUAUCGAGUCUUUACAGCAAAGAGUUCAAGAGGCAGAUAACUAAAGCACCUGAAAGCACACCCAAGUGUUGGGCUGAAGGUACUUCUUCUGUAUCCAUAAGUUAAAAUGCUGAGAAUGUCUCAAAACCUAAAGUUGUGAGGGUGACCGUACAGAGAUUUUGUUCGUAUUAUUCUUAUUAUUUUCUGUCUUAUUUAUUAUCAUUGUAUUCUUUUACUCAGAGUCUUCACCAUUCUAUGGUUCUUUGUGGUUAAAAUUUUCAUGGUCUUUGGAUCCAAAAGAGAAAAAUGUUAGGGGAGAGUCCAAAGGUAGCACAUUGCCCCCAUGUAUUCCAUUGUUGUUGUCAAAUAGAUUUGUCUUAGGAGGUUGUGCUGGUGUCUUUCCACUUAUAGUGAAAUUGUGUUAGAUUAUCUUCAUUGUUCAAAUGUGAAUAUAAAAUUAUUGUAUUUGGAUAUAUAUAUGUAUAUUUGGAUUCUUCUUGGUUCUUUGUUGUAAUUUGAGUUUUAAUUGGUCUC